UACGGGGGGUGCAAGCGUUGUUCGGAAUUAUUGGGCGUAAAGAGCGUGUAGGCGGUUUGUUAAGUCUGUUGUGAAAGCCCUGGGCUCAACCCAGGAAGUGCACUGGAUACUGGCAGACUUGAAUACGGGAGAGGGUAGUGGAAUUCCUAGUGUAGGAGUGAAAUCCGUAGAUAUUAGGAGGAACACCGGUGGCGAAGGCGGCUACCUGGACCGAUAUUGACGCGGAGACGCGAAAGCGUGGGUAGCAAACAGG
rnacentral:rRNA from 1 species